rnacentral:rRNA from 1 species
GAUGAACGCUGGCGGCGUGCCUAAUACAUGCAAGUCGUGCGAACAGAUCCUUUGCUUGCUCCUUUGACGUUAGCGGCGGACGUAUGAGUAACACGUGGUUACCCUACCUAUAAGACUGGACUAACUCCGUGAAACCGGGGCUAAUUCCGUAUAACAUUUAGAUCCGCAUGGUUCUAAAGUUAAAGCUGUUUUUGCUAUCACUUCUAGAUGUACCCGCGCCGUAUUAGGUAGUUGGUAAGGUAAAGGCUUACCAAGGCAACGAUGCGUAGCCGACCUGAGAGGGGGAGCGGGCACAAGAGAAUGGAGAGACGGACUAGGACCCUAAGGGAGGCAGGAGUAGGGAAGGAGGCGGAAGGGGGGAAAGCCGGACGGAGCAACGAAGCGUGAGGGAUGAAGGUCUUCGGAGGGAAAAAGGCUGUUAUGAGGGAAGAAGAAAUGAGUAAGGAACUGGGCAUGUGUGGACGGAACUGAAGAAGAAAGCCACGGCUAACUACGG